rnacentral:misc_RNA from 1 species
UCCUCGUUUAAGCGAGGCAGUCUGUCCAGAGUGCUCCGAGCUCUCGCUCAGGUGGCAACAGGACACAAGGGUUGCGCUCGUUGCGGGACUUAACCCAACAUCUCACGACACGAGCUGACGACAGCCAUGCAGCACCUGUGUUAGUGUCCCUUGCGGGAAGCCGGACUUUCAUUGCCUGUCCUGCACAUGUCAAACCCAGGUAAGGUUCUUCGCGUUGCGUCGAAUUAAACCACAUGCUCCACCGCUUGUGCAGGCCCCCGUCAAUUCCUUUGAGUUUUAAUCUUGCGACCGUACUCCCCAGGCGGAUAACUUAAUGCGUUAGCUGCGCCACCCAAGCACCAUGUGCCCGGACAGCUAGUUAUCAUCGUUUACGGCGUGGACUAC